rnacentral:rRNA from 1 species
GAUGAACGCUGGCGGCGUGCUUAACACAUGCAAGUCGAACGAUGAAAGCGGGAGCUUGCUCCUGCUGGAUUAGUGGCGAACGGGUGAGUAACACGUGAGCAAUCUGCCCCGAACUCUGGGAUAAGCGUUGGAAACGACGCCUAAUACCGGAUACGACGCGCGAAGGCAUCUUCUGCGCGUGGAAAGAACUUCGGUUCGGGAUGAGCUCGCGGCCUAUCAGCUAGUUGGUGAGGUAACGGCUCACCAAGGCGACGACGGGUAGCCGGCCUGAGAGGGUGACCGGCCACACUGGGACUGAGACACGGCCCAGACUCCUACGGGAGGCAGCAGUGGGGAAUAUUGCACAAUGGGCGAAAGCCUGAUGCAGCAACGCCGCGUGAGGGACGACGGCCUUCGGGUUGUAAACCUCUUUUAGUAGGGAAGAAGCGAAAGUGACGGUACCUGCAGAAAAAGCACCGGCUAACUACGUGCCAGCCGCCGCGGUAAAAC